rnacentral:lncRNA from 1 species
UUAUCCUCUUUAACUGUUCCUUAAUCAUUUCCACAAGCAAUGAAAUGUUGCAUUACUGUAUGGUUAGUCCUUUCAGAUCCUGAGCAUAUUUUAUGUGAAUGUGGUAACUUGGCUUCAGCUCCUACCUGUCUUAUUUUCUAGUACUGCAAUUAGAUAUGACAAGAAGAAUCAUGGUUACUUUAGUGAAGACAUCUAUGUUGGCUUAUGUUUAUUUUCACCUCUGCAAGGAAUAUUUUAUACGUCAACUUUCAACACUUUUUUGAGUGCAACUUGGCAAGGAAUCUGUCAAGGGCACCGUUGCCUAAGAUUUGAGACUAUUCAUGCAUGUGAGGUAUGCCUUUUUUCUAUGUUUGGACCAUCCAAUGCACAGGCUACAGAUGGCAUAUGCAAAGGACAUGCUUGGUGUCCUGAAACACAGGCAUAUCCAGAAGUUUUCCAGCCAAGUCUUUUUGAGGCAGGAAAUACUAGUGAAGAAAUAAUUACUCUGUGAAGAAAAUUUCCAUGGUCUUCGAAAAAUAUUCUAAAAGAUUCCCUGCAUGGCAUUUACUUUUGUUAAACUUUGCUGGAUGUCACCUGGUUUAUGAUUUCUAUGCUCUUCUUUGUUAAACUUUGCUGGAUGUCACCUGGUUUAUGAUUUCUAUGCUCUUCUUUCAAAUAUUGUGAAACCUUGCUGGAUGUCACCUCCUUCAUCUUGUCCAUUCCACCUUAAAAAUCAUAAAAAGAAAAAAAAAGCAGUACACUUUCCAUUCUUCACUUUCCUCUGACUAAUAUAAUUCGGUUAAUUAAUGUCUUAGAAUGACUUUGAUCAGCAGUCCUUUAAGAAUAUGCAUAUUCACAUGAAGUGAAUGAAUACUACUAGGGCGUGGAAGCAUGGUAUCUUGGUGUGCAUGCAUGCAUGCAUAAAUCUGUUUUGGGUGGUAAUUAGUCUCUUUUAGCUUUUGUUAUUG